UACAGAGGUCCCGAGCGUUGUUCGGAUUCACUGGGCGUAAAGGGUGCGUAGGUGGUUGGGUAAGUCUGAUGUGAAAUCUCCGGGCUCAACCCGGAAAUGGCAUUGGAUACUAUUCGGCUAGAGGUUUGGAGGGGGGACUGGAAUUCCCGGUGUAGCGGUGGAAUGCGUAGAGAUCGGGAAGAACAUCGGUGGCGAAGGCGGCCUGCUGGGCCGUUGCUGACGCUGAGGCGCGACAGCGUGGGGAGCAAACAGG
rnacentral:rRNA from 1 species